AUGUUUUCACAGCUGUGAUUACAAGAUCUGGAAGCAGACUUCCAGAAAGAUGACUAGAAGAGAUGUCCAGAUUGUUUGUUUAUUUUGUAUCGUAUUAACACCUCUAGCCUCCAAAUGUUGUACUUCUGUGUCUGCCACACAGUUCAGAGUGAUUCUGCAGACCAAGCAACAUUACACUUCCAAUAUAUCACCAAGUCCAGGUACAACAUCCCUGGGAAGUGAAAUGUGGUCGGGAAGGCGUAACUGUCUGUUGUAUUUAAAGACACAAAAAAUGCCAAGGAGCUGUGGUCAAGUGAUGGCAAGGUUAGGAGCGCGCUGGAGCAAUCUGAGGAAGAGGCCAAACAAACAUCAGAGAGUUG
rnacentral:lncRNA from 1 species